ACCUAUUUAUAAACCAAUCAAUGGUUAGAGUAUUGCUUUCAUACGGCAAGAAUCAUUGGUUCAAAUCCAAUAGUAGGUA
rnacentral:tRNA from 1 species